CCCAACCCUGUCCUGAAUCCGUUUUGGGUAUAUAAAAUUGCACUCCACCCCCGUCCCGUUACCCAUCAUUAUCCAUCAAGGCGGGUAAUCUCAACCCCAUUUGGGGUGGGUACUUGUGGGUAUCCAUCUCUGCAGGUUAAGUUUUUGUCUCUAGUCUUCGAGUGAAACACUUUACCAAACACAAAAAUUAUCAAGGGUUUCUCAAGGCAUUCAUGCAUGAAAGAAAUCAACAGAAAAUUAAAUCAAGAAUAGAGAGGGAAUCAAAGAAGAACAUGUAGAUUGUAGAGGUUCGCCCAAAUUGUUUGGGGUACAUCCUCUAUCGAGCUCGCCACAAUAGAUUGCUCAGUCAAUCAUAUUACUCAGGCCAAGAUUACAAUUCAUCGAUUCCAGCCAAAUCUCUGAAGGUGAAACGGCUUCGAAUCACCUAGAUCUAAAAAGGGAAGCGUCUUUAAAUACUAUUGUUGUUAAGAGAAGAAAGGUUGGCACAUAGUGGAUUUAUCAACACUCCUCAUGAUCUUCACAUCUCUGACUAUUUACAUGAGUUAUGGUUUGGAGAUCACAUUGCGAUUCAGUGGGAAGAAAUAAAGAGUUUCCUUAUAGUUAAUCUCUGUUUUUACCAGCCCUGACCUUUCAUCAGGAAUAACACUAUAGCCGAUGGCGCAAAAUCAUCGGCAAUAACACUAAUUCUGGUGGUGCAAAAGUCUUGGCAAUUCUUCUUUUAUUGUCGAAGAUUUUGAAGUGUUGGUAAACUUCGUUACUAACUAUUUUCCACUGAUGUCUAUUCCGCCCAGUUUUGCAUUGGUUGAAUAGGUGCCAGUCAUAGAGACGGACAACAAUACAAUACCUAGCAUUUUAAACUAUUGAUAAAUUCUCUUUUUUUCGCAGUGUAAUUAAUUACUAAUGUGAAAAAUAUUUAAAAGUUAAUAACUUAAUGUAUGAACAAAUUUUUGCAACUUGGAAUAUAUAUAAAAAUGUUUUGUUUAAAAUAGUAUUUUUUAAUAGUUAGUCCCCUAGUAAUUCAUUUUUCGCUUGGCCUGUAUUAUAUAUUACAGUUUUUUUAUUUUAAUGAAGAAAAGCGUGCAAAUAUAUUAGAAUAAAAUUAGUUAGACCUAUCGGUCGUUACAAAUAUAUUACAGUUAUUAAUACACACUUUAACUUAUAUCUUUUCAAUAAUUAAUUUUUAUUAAAUUAUUUAUUUUUUUAUAACAACUAA